UACGGGGGGGGCAAGCGUUGUUCGGAAUUACUGGGCGUAAAGGGCUCGUAGGCGGCCAACUAAGUCAGACGUGAAAUCCCUCGGCUUAACCGGGGAACUGCGUCUGAUACUGGAUGGCUAGAGGUUGGGAGAGGGAUGCGGAAUUCCAGGUGUAGCGGUGAAAUGCGUAGAUAUCUGGAGGAACACCGGUGGCGAAGGCGGCGACCUGGGUAGAUACUGACGCUGAGGCGCGAAAGCGUGGGGAGCAAACAGG
rnacentral:rRNA from 1 species